rnacentral:rRNA from 1 species
GAUGUACGCUGGCGGCGUGCCUAAUACAUGCGAGUCGAGCGAACGGACGAGAAGCUUGCUUCUCUGAUGUUAGCGGCGGACGGGUGAGUAACACGUGGAUAACCUACCUAUAAGACUGGGAUAACUUCGGGAAACCGGAGCUAAUACCGGAUAAUAUUUUGAACCGCAUGGUUCAAAAGUGAAAGACGGUCUUGCUGUCACUUAUAGAUGGAUCCGCGCUGCAUUAGCUAGUUGGUAAGGUAACGGCUUACCAAGGCAACGAUGCAUAGCCGACCUGAGAGGGUGAUCGGCCACACUGGAACUGAGACACGGUCCAGACUCCUACGGGAGGCAGCAGUAGGGAAUCUUCCGCAAUGGGCGAAAGCCUGACGGAGCAACGCCGCGUGAGUGAUGAAGGUCUUCGGAUCGUAAAACUCUGUUAUUAGGGAAGAACAUAUGUGUAAGUAACUGUGCACAUCUUGACGGUACCUAAUCAGAAAGCCACGGCUAACUACGUG